UACAGAGGUCUCAAGCGUUGUUCGGAUUCAUUGGGCGUAAAGGGUGCGUAGGUGGCGCGAUAAGUCGGGUGUGAAAUCUCGGAGCUUAACUCCGAAAUUGCAUUCGAUACUGCCGUGCUUGAGGACUGGAGAGGAGACUGGGAUUCAUGGUGUAGCAGUGAAAUGCGUAGAGAUCAUGAGGAAGACCAGUGGCGAAGGCGGGUCUCUGGACAGUUCCUGACACUGAGGCACGAAGGCCAGGGGAGCAAACGGG
rnacentral:rRNA from 1 species